rnacentral:rRNA from 1 species
UACAGAGGUCUCAAGCGUUGUUCGGCUUCAUUGGGCGUAAAGGGUGCGUAGGUGGCUUGUUAAGUUGAAGGUGAAAUCUCGGGGCUCAACUCCGAAACUGCCUUCAAUACUGGCGAGCUCGAGGACUGUAGAGGAGAAUGGAAUUCACGGUGUAGCAGUGAAAUGCGUAGAUAUCGUGAGGAAGACCAGUUGCGAAGGCGGCUCUCUGGACCAGUACUGACGCUGAGGCACGAAAGCGCGGGGAGCAAACGGG